AUUUUUUUUUAACGUUUAUUUUUGAGACAGAGAGAGAGCAUGAACAGGGGAGGGUCAGAGAGAGGGAGACACAGAAUCUGAAACAGGCUCCAGGCUCCGAGCCAUCAGCCCAGAGCCCGACACGGGGCUCGAACUCACGGACCGAGAGAUCAUGACCUGAGCCGAAGUUGGCCGCUUAACCGACUGAGCCACCCAGGCGCCCGAAGAUUCUUUUUUUAAACGUAAUUUCUACACCCAACGUGAGGCUCACACGUACAACCCCGAGAUCAAGAGUCACAUGCUCUCCCAACCGAGUGAGCCAGGCGCCCCUUUUUAAUUAAGUUUUUAAUUUUGAUUCCAGUGUAGUUAACGUGCGGUGUUACAUUAGAUUCACGUGCACGGUCUGGUGAUUCAGCAGUUCUGCACUUUACUCCCUGCUCAUUAUCACGAGUGUCCUCAGUCCCUGCCACCUGUUUCAUCCGGUGCCCCACCCUUGUCCCCUCCUGUAACCACCAGUUGUUCUCCAUAGUUAAGAGUCUGUUUCUUGGCUUGUCUCUCUUUUCUCCUUUGUUCCUUCAUUUCUUAAUUUCCACAUACGAGUGAAAUCACAUGGCAUUUCUCUGACUCAUUUCGACAAUUGAGUAACUUUUAAAGUUUAUUUUUGAGAGGGACAGAGAGAGACAGAGCAUGAGUGGGGAUGGGGCAGAGAGAGAGAGAGGGAGAGAGAAUCCGAAGCAGGCUCCAGGCUCCGAGCCCUCAGCACAGAGGCCGAUGCGGGGGUCGAACUCACAAACCGGGAGAUCAUGACCUGAGCUGAAGUCGGACGCCUAACCGACUGAGCCACCCAGGUGCCCCCAGAUCAUUAACUUCUAAAAGAACCGACAAGCUCUUGCGUGCAGACUCAAUGGACAGCCUUGUUUCCAGAUGGUUCUGGAAAGCCUCCAGCUGUGAAUCCUGGAAUUCUGUCUACUCAUUUCCUUCCCAGAAGUGAAUGCUCGUGGCCGGUUUGAACAGAGCAGGAAAGGGGCUUGGUGUUCGCACCCCGGUGCCAGAGAUGGUUUGUGGGACGCCGGUGACCUCGUCCCCUUGAGGACCUGCGCUGCCUGACUUACGGGCGUGAGGGUUCCAGUCUGUGCGUGGGACAGUGCCAGGCCUGCUGGGCUACACGGGAAUCCCACCCGCGACCCCUGGAGGAGACCAGCGACUUAUGCAGUCCUGCUCGCAGUGAGCCGUGCAUGGCGUGCUAGGAAACGAUUGCUUCUGAGCGUGUUCGGUGCAGCAGAGGAAGGAGCAAGUUCCAGGGCCAGACAUGUUCGGGAACCUCUUGCGAAGGUGCAGGGUGUCUCUUUACUCAAGGGCCGAGAGCUCUUAAUCACUUGGGAAGCCUACAGGGGUGAUGGCUCUCAGCCCCAGGCUCCAGAGGCCAGAGCUGGGGACACCCGUCUAUGUGGGGUCCCCCCGGGAGAGAGGGAGCACCAAAUCCUAACCACUAGACCACCGGGGAACUUGGGGUCCCCCGGAAGAGCUGCCUUCACGAGGGGGUGUCGGUGGAGGGACGCCUGUGUUUCCGCCCCUGGUAGACUGUUCUGUGAGAGAGAAGAUGAGGUUUCUAAAAAGGACUUUGUUUAGGGGGGAAAAAAAAAGGUCUCUCUCUUCCCCUCCCCCGCUCUGUCGCACUCUCAAAACAAA